UACAGAGGUCCCGAGCGUUGUUCGGAUUCAUUGGGCGUAAAGGGUGCGUAGGCGGCCUGCUAAGUUUGAUGUGAAAGCCCGGGGCUCAACCCUGGAAUUGCAUUGAAUACUGGCGGGCUAGAGUACUGGAGAGGAAACUGGAAUUUACGGUGUAGCAGUGAAAUGCGUAGAGAUCGUAAGGAAGACCAGUGGCGAAGGCGGGUCUCUGGGCAAUAACUGACGCUGAGGAGCGAAAGCGUGGGGAGCGAACAGG
rnacentral:rRNA from 1 species